rnacentral:miRNA from 1 species
GCUGGCCAAAAAGUUCGUUCGGGUUUUCCCGCGAUGUCACGGACGAACCCAAAUGAACUUUUGGGUCAAC